ensembl:lncRNA
AGCAAAAGCCUUUUAUUCAUUCAAAAAUCAACCAUUGGGUUUAUUCCGCAGAUAUUAAAAAAAGGGGGUCAAGGCUUCCCAUCACAGUGCCCUUCUGCUAAUUAACUUGCUACCCCUGGGGAAGACCUUGAAGAGGGGCGUCUGGGAGACACGCUGUCAAUAACGUGGGGCUGGAGGCCCUGGCCUGGGGAGUCAGAGCCCCUCCUCGCCUCCCCACCUGCAGCCUCCCUCUGGAAUCAUCUGUUCGGCAGGUGGGGGCCCCAAAGGCCUUUGCAGCUCAUCGCCGCCAGGGGGCGCUGCCACGUUCCCUCGGAAGCUGAAGCUGAGCUGGCAACCGGGGAGCUUUCCAAGCUCGGCGGGCAGUGGGGUUUUCUCCAGGGGGAGGCUGCCUCUCCCCGGGGGCACCCCGACACCCCAACCUCUCCCCUACACACACACAGAGAACAGACAAUGUCCCCAAAAGCCCAGGUGCACCUGUCGUCUAGGAGGUGGGUGGCAAGCUGAAAAGCAUUUCAGGGGAACAGGGGGACACGUACUCUGACCGUCGCCUGGUUAAACACUGCAAACUCGGGACAUUCUCCUAAGUACCAUCAACACAGAGCGGGGAGCAGGCGCUGUGAGCAAGAAGCCAGGGCCGCUGAGGACUGGCUGCCCGAGGCUGGACCUUGCUCCUGGGCCCAGGGAGCCAGGAUGGCAGAGGGGCAGAGCCCAGCUUCCGCCUGGUCUGGGAUCCCCAGACAGCAGCAUCUGAUGGGGCUGGGGAGAGAGGCCCAUGGGCUGCUCCGGGUUCCGAGGGUGCGGCAGCUAGGGGCCCAGUGAGAGGAGGGGACAGCACUGUCCCUGUCUGGCAAGCUUGGGCGCUAAUGGCCAGUGUCCAGCACCCUUCCAGGAAGAAGGGUGGCCCUUCUGGCAGCUCUGGGCUGUCUGGGGGCAUGGACACAAGGUGUGCCUGAGGCGUGGGUCCACGGGAUCCUGGCUAAGGCCAAAAGCCACAACCAUGGCUCCAAACCAAAAGCCAAAGGGCACAGAGGUGGGAGGAAGGCCUCCCACAGACACUCAGAGAUCUCCACCCUGGAGGGGUCUGCCUGCUCAGCCCCGGGGGACUCAGUCACAGGCCCUUUCCCGUGAUGCUUCCAGGACGGGCUGCACAACAGCUCCUCCCCACGGGACCAGAGAGACAAACUGAGGCUCAGGCUGAGCCCGGAGAAGCAGCCUGACCCGGGACAGGCCUCACUCUCCUCCCCUCCAACCCCAUGUCCAAGUUCAUCUCCUGCCCUAGGAACCUAGGGCAGAGCAGGCUGAGGAGCUGCAGGAUUUGGCGGUGAGUCCUGGGCCUCGUGGGCCAGUGGCCUGAGCAGGAGGGUGACCUCAAGGAGCCCAGCCUUCAAAGGUGCCUGUGAAAAUGGAACCACUGCUCCCCGUCCCCACAGGACCUGGGGGGCUCACAGUGGAGCCAGAGCGCAGCCAAAGGGCCUGCUAAAGGCAGGGAGAGAGGGCUGGGCCAGCUGAGGUCCAGCCAACAGGAAUGGCCAUGCAAGCCACUCUCUGGCAGAGGGUCUGCUGGCGGAGGGGAAUGGGCAGGAGCCGCUCAGGCCUCCUGGGAAAGCGCCGAGUGGAGACGGAGGACGAUUCUCAGCGGGAACCGAGGGCCGGCUCCUCCGCUCCUGGGCAGGCUGAGCAGGGGGAUCACAGGCUGCUGGCUGUGCAAGGAAGCAGCAGGAAUUCUGGACUCAGGCCUGGCCCUAAACAGUCUGGGGGGCUGCUUCUCACCCCAGAAGCCUUCCCCGGGUGAGGACUAGUUCUGGGCCAAAAGAUGACUCCUAAGUCCAGGAGGGACCAGGAAGCCCUGCAGGGAGGGCCAAGGUGUUGUCUGACUUUCUUGGUGGUGGGUCUGGGGCUGCCCGUCUCAGUGGCAGGCAGAGCUAGAAGCUCCCUGUGAACACACGUGGGCCACAGCCCCAAGAGACGGCCACUACCUGGACGUCACUGGCUGCAGCCCUUUGCUCCUCCCCUCCCUCCCAGCAGGAGCUGAGAGAGGGAAGGCAAGAAGGAUGCUGUGUGGUCUACUGGACAAGGCAGACAGGCAGGCAGGAAAGCAGAGUGGGAGAAAACCGAGAGAUUUUCAAAAGCCACCAAGGAUGGAGAAAGGGCCUUCACUUCUGCUCACUUGCUUGCAAAGACCCCCUCUUCCCUCCUUCCUUAUGUACCCAUCCCUGCUUCCAGGCUCCCGUCUCAGGACGAGCCUCUCCAUUCUCAGGCUACUGCAAACACCAAAGCAAGAGUGGAGAAACCGAAAGAUGCCCCCUGGGGUCCUCGGAAAAGAUGUGAUGGACCCAGGGGAGGACACAGGACAGGAAGGAAGGUGCACAGGGAGCAGAGAAAAGGUUCAAGGAGGAGGCAUUCGGGCAGGAGGGAACAGUGCAUUAGCCAUUUAAGAAACCCACCUUCCCCCUCUCCAAACAUGGAGCACAGUAUCCAAAAAGAAAAAAAAAGGUUUUUGGCUUCUCGGCCGCUGCGGAGGCCACCAUCCUCCCAGGCGCUGGGCAGGUGGGUGAGGGCGUGCACAUGUAAACGGGGGGCCCCGCAUCCCUGGGGGCUUCGGACACACGAGGCAGCAGCAACAGUUAACACCAAUAAAUAAAAGAUAUCAAUUCUAUAUGUAUCAAAAAAAACCUCACUUUCCCCACAAAAAGCACAAUACUGUUAUCACAAAAAAUCAUCAUCAUCAUCAUUACUCAUCCUGGCCACGGAGGCGGUGCUGCUGCUGGAGGACGGGGGACCAAGGACGCGAACCAGGCAGCCCCCCAGCAUCCCGAGCCCACCCGUGGCCAGGCCGGGACCUCCGCGACCUCUCUGGCUGCCCGAGGACGGGGCGGAUUCCCUGAGUCCCCGAGGCCUCCUCCACAUCUGUCAGUCCGUAUCUUCUAGGACAGAAGGUAGUUUUUUUUUUCUUUUUCAAU